GGAGUCUGGGCCGUGUCUCAGUCCCAAUGUGGCCGUUCAACCUCUCAGUCCGGCUACUGAUCGUCGACUUGGUGAGCCGUUACCUCACCAACUAUCUAAUCAGACGCGAGCCCAUCUUUGAGUGAUAAAUCUUUGAUACAUCUAUCAUGCGGUAAAUGUAUGUUAUGAGGUAUUACCAUCCGUUUCCAGAAGCUAUCCCUCUCUCAAAGGCAGGUUGCUCACGUGUUACUCACCCGUCCGCCACUAAGCUACUCCAAGUAAACUCAAAAUAGCUCCGUUCGACUUGCAUGUGUUAAGCGUGCCGCCAGCGUUCGUCCUCGAGCCAUGAUCAAACUCU
rnacentral:rRNA from 1 species